rnacentral:snRNA from 1 species
AUUGCUUCUUGGCCUUUUUAGCUAAGAUCAAGUGUAGUAUCUGCUCUUAUCAGUUUAAUAAAAUACGAUCUCAUAAUUAAUUAUUAAGUAGAAUUAUUUUUCUAAUAGACUUUCCUGCCAUGUUUUCAGUGGCUAGGUACCAAAAUGGUGACUUCUAAUGAGCAAGUGCUUCAUGUUCUUUUUCUCUUUCAGAAGGCAAGUC